rnacentral:rRNA from 1 species
AUUGAACGCUGGCGGCAUGCCUUACACAUGCAAGUCGAACGGUAACGCGGGGCAACCUGGCGACGAGUGGCGAACGGGUGAGUAAUGCAUCGGAACGUGCCCGGUAGUGGGGGAUAACUGCUCGAAAGAGCAGCUAAUACCGCAUACGACCUGAGGGUGAAAGGGGGGGAUCGCAAGACCUCUCGCUAUCGGAGCGGCCGAUGUCGGAUUAGCUAGUUGGUGGGGUAAGAGCCCACCAAGGCAACGAUCCGUAACUGGUCUGAGAGGACGACCAGCCACACUGGGACUGAGACACGGCCCAGACUCCUACGGGAGGCAGCAGUGGGGAAUUUUGGACAAUGGACGCAAGUCUGAUCCAGCCAUGCCGCGUGCGGGAAGAAGGCCUUCGGGUUGUAAACCGCUUUUGUCAGGGAAGAAAUCUUCUGAGUUAAUACCUCGGGAGGAUGACGGUACCUGAAGAAUAAGCACCGGCUAACUACGUGCCAGCCGCCGCUGUAACAC